GUAAAAAUAUUUUAUAAAGAAUUUUUAGUUUGCAACUAAAAGGAGAUUUUUAUCUUUUUACA
rnacentral:tRNA from 1 species